CGUUCUCAGGGCGGGGUGAAAGUCCCCACCGGCGGUGAUGGGCCUCAAGCCCUCAGCCCGCGAGCGCCUGCCGGGCUCCCGCCUGGCAGGGUCAGCAGACCCGGUGUGAUUCCGGGGCCGACGGUCACAGUCCGGAUGAAAGAGAGC
rnacentral:ncRNA from 1 species